GUUGAUCAUGGCUCAGAUUGAACGCUGGCGGAAUGCUUUACACAUGCAAGUCGAGCGGCAGCGCGGGGGCAACCCUGGCGGCGAGCGGCGAACGGGUGAGUAAUGCAUCGGAACGUGUCCAUGUCGUGGGGGAUAGCCCGGCGAAAGCCGGAUUAAUACCGCAUACGCCCGAGAGGGGAAAGUGGGGGACCGCAAGGCCUCAUGCGAUUGGAUCGGCCGAUGUCCGAUUAGCUAGUUGGCGGGGUAAAGGCCCACCAAGGCGAUGAUCGGUAGCUGGUCUGAGAGGAUGAUCAGCCACACUGGGACUGAGACACGGCCCAGACUCCUACGGGAGGCAGCAGUGGGGAAUUUUGGACAAUGGGGGCAACCCUGAUCCAGCCAUUCCGCGUGAGUGAAGAAGGCCUUCGGGUUGUAAAGCUCUUUUGUCCGGAACGAAACGGAUGACGUUAAUAGCGUCGUCUACUGACGGUACCGGAAGAAUAAGCACCGGCUAACUACGUGCCAGCAGCCGCGGUAAUACGUAGGGUGCGAGCGUUAAUCGGAAUUACUGGGCGUAAAGCGUGCGCAGGCGGUUUUGUAAGCCAGAUGUGAAAGCCCCGGGCUUAACCUGGGAAUGGCAUUUGGGACUGCAAGGCUUGAGUGCGGCAGAGGAGACUGGAAUUCCUGGUGUAGCAGUGAAUGCGUAGAUAUCAGGAGGAACACGAUGGC
rnacentral:rRNA from 1 species